rnacentral:rRNA from 1 species
UACGUAGGUGGCAAGCGUUGUCCGGAUUUACUGGGCGUAAAGAGCGCGCAGGCGGUCGUACAUCGCGUGUGAAAGCCCCCGGCUCAACUGGGGAGGGUCACGCGAUACUGCUCGACUCGAAGGCAGGAGAGGGAGUGGAAUUCCCGGUGUAGUGGUGAAAUGCGUAGAUAUCGGGAGGAACACCAGUGGCGAAGGCGACUACCUGGCCUGUUCUUGACGCUGAGGCGCGAAAGCUAGGGGAGCAAACGGG